CGCGUAGGCGGCUAGGCAAGUCACGGGUGAAAUCCCUCGGCUCAACCGAGGAACUGCCUCUGAUACUGCCUGGCUUGAGUCCCGGAGAGGGUAGCGGAAUUCCCAGUGUAGCGGUGAAAUGCGUAGAUACUGGGAGGAACACCAGUGGCGAAGGCGGCUGCCUGGACGGGUACUGACGCUGAGGCGCGAAAGCGUGGGGAACAAACA
rnacentral:rRNA from 1 species